GUCCACUCCCUGUGAUACUCAUGCUGAUUUUACUUCAAGCUUGGCCUGCUCAAGAGAGACUUAAGGUAGUAGUGAGUGUGUCUUCACAGAGCUGGCUGACUGAAGGGGUCUCAAUGACUCUAAACUGUGAGGUCAGAAA